GUCUCACACUCACUAGGUUUGUCCUCUGUAUCCCUGCAUCUCAGAAAGAGCGGAGCCAGAGAGGUGGCUGGUGUGGCGAGUACUUGGUGCCACCCACAAAUAAUUGACAAAAGUCAGAUCUGGGAAGACUGAAUGAUGACAAAUCUAACUGCAAAAUCUGUUGUGCAGCUGACGCCUGUGUCCAGCAGUCACUGUGUGAGUGUGGGGGACACCUGGACAGGCUCCAGACUUUGCUGAUGGAAAUAUUUUCUGUGAUCAGAGGAGAGUUUUUGGAACCAUGUGGAAAAGUUAGGCGAGUGACGCAAAAGGAAAGUAAAUUAAACUAAUGAAUGAUGCUGUCAGAGUCCUGAUGUAAUGAGCGUUUAAUUGUUAGGUGGGCUGUGCACGUCGAGGUGAUUGCUCUUUGGGUGAUUUAAAAGAUGUUUUUUUGGUCCUGACGUGUCUACUUACUUCUUACCACAAAAUUUCAUUAGAAUGAUGGAAACGUUUUUUUAACCUUGAGACUGUCUAACGUU